GACGAACGUUGGCGGCGUGCUUAAUACAUGCAAGUCAACUGAAGCAGUGGUAGCAAUAUCGCUGUGGAGGUGGCGCACGGGUGAGUAACACGUAGGUAAUCUGCCUUCAGGUCUGGCAUAACUCCGGGAAACCGGGGCUAAUAGCAGAUGAUGCAGCGGCUCGACAUCGAGACAGUUGUUAAAGCUAUGGCGCCUGAAGAUGAGCCUGCGUCUGAUUAGCUAGUUGGCGGGGUAACGGCCCACCAAGGCAACGAUCAGUAGCUGGUCUGAGAGGAUGAUCAGCCACACUGGAACUGAGACACGGUCCAGACUCCUACGGGAGGCAGCAGUAAGGAAUAUUGCUCAAUGGGAGAAAUCCUGAAGCAGCAACGCCGCGUGAGGGACGAAGGGCCUUUGCUUGUAAACCUCUGUAGUGAGAGAAAAAAAUCCCAAUCCUUGGGACAUGAUGGUAUCUCAAAAGUAAGCCCCGGCUAACUACGUG
rnacentral:rRNA from 1 species